rnacentral:lncRNA from 1 species
AAUAUUAUGGAAUGUCAUUUUGUUUCCUUCCUGCUUGUAAGCAAAUCUUUUUACUUCUGUUUUUUCUCUUGUUUUUCACUGCAAGUUGACAGCCAGAAAGGAUGUUAACGUAUAGUUCUAGUGAGACCAGAGAUGAAGCAGCUGCUGGAAGGACAGCUUCUGGAUUUCACAAGUGGCAGCUCAGCCUUAACAUUUUGAAGGAAACAAAAUAAAGGCACAGAAAACUCACUUCUGUCAAUCCUGCCCUAUAUAAAUACGUCAUGUUGAAAUUCUACUUCUAUCUGCAUCCUAAAUUAUGCUGAAAGGCAAAAGUGAUUCGUAGAACAUCACUUGCAUAAACUAUGAGAGUGUGACAAAUGAUGCAUUGCCUAAGUCAUCUCUGUUGGUAUUUUCAGCAGUGCAACAAGCCAAAAACAAACAACCCCGGGAUCCGGGAUCAGUGACUGGAAAUGGCUUCUCUAAUCUAUCUGGUCAAUAUCGUGACUUAUUAACCAGAGGGGUCUUUAGGCCAAUUCAGCUUUAUUUCUCAUAGGAAAAGUGAAGUAACUUCUCCACAAGGGAUUACAACCUUGUGUUCUUUUUUAAACAGUUAAGAAGGGACAGAUGUGAGGAAAAGGAUCUGAAAAUACAAGUGAAUGGCAAUCUGGAUAUCAGCCAGUAAUGUACCUUCAUAUCCCAGUGUAGAACAAAUGAAGUUAACGACAGCCUUCAUUUGAGAAACAGGCGCUAGAGGAAAAGAUAUCAAAAAAAAAUGUACUCACUCCUCCCAGUAACAGUUUGGAGAAAGGGACGAGCCGAGCAAUGUGACCCUCCUUUGUUCAUACCGUUGCGCCACCAGAGAGAAGAGUGGGGGCAAAGGGAGACCCGCGCAGACUCAGAUUGCACAGGAAGUAUCACAGAGACAGAGGGGGUGGCUCCAGACCCCCCAGCUCCAGGUUCAGGCUGUGACCUUGGAAUUCCACUAUACCCAGAAAGCGAACUGUAUCCUGGGCUCCAUCAAGAGAAGAGUGGCCAGCAGACCCAGGGUGAUCCUGCCCCUCUACUCUGCACUGGUGAGGCCUCACCUAGAGUACCAUGUCCAGACGUGGAGUCCAUAGCACAGGAGAGACAUGGACCUGCUGAAGUGCAUCCAGAGAAGGGCCACAAAAAUGAUCCACAGAAUGGAACAUCUCUCUUAUGAGGACAGGCUGAGAGAGCUGGGGCUGUUCAGCCUGGAGAAGAGAAGGCUGUGAUGUGACCUGAUAGACCUCAUUAUCUAAAGGGGGAAUAUGAGAAAGAAGGAGACAGACUCUUUAACAGGGUCUGUGGUGAUAGGACAAAGGGAAAUGAUUUCAAAUUAAAGAGGAGAGAUUUAGAUUGGACAUAAGGCAUAUGCUUUUUUUACAAUAAGGGUGUUGAGGCAUUGGACAAAAUUGCCCAGAGAUGCUGCGUCCCUGGUGAUAUUCACGGUCAGGCUGGACGGGGCUCUGAGCAACCUGAUCUAGCUGCAGACGUUCCUGUUCAUUGCCAGGGAGUUGUACUAGAUGACCUAUAAAGGUUGCUUCCAACUCAAAUGAUUCUGUGAUUCCAUGAUUCUAUGAAAUAUAUUAGGAUAUAUUUUAGAGUGCUUGAGAAUCACAUAUACCUGCAGCUGUGUAGGAAAUGGCAAACCUACAGAUCAGCAAAGUCAGAGUAUGCUGGUCUUAUAUUAUAAAAACAUUAACUUUGUCUAAAAUUAACCUAAACUUGAAAUGUAGCAGUGUACACAUUCAUCUCAAACCCUUUCUUGCCUUGUAUGCUUUCCUGAGCAAAUAAACCUAAAUAGUUU